rnacentral:lncRNA from 1 species
UGGGUCUUUUCAGCUGUGCUGUUUUCAGUUGACCCAAUAACAACAGCAAGUGGCUAAAACUGCUGCUGGGCAUUUUUGAGCAAGAAGUUGGAGCAUCGUAUAGCGUUGUACUUUCUGUCAAGCAAAUUCAGUAAUCUGUACGAUUAAGUAAUGAGGUAAGUAAUUCUAGUGGACGACCUGUGCAUGUUUAAACAUAAUGAAUAACACUUUUCUUUGGGAUGGAGAGUCCUCCAUACAUCAAUGAAAUGUAUAUGUCUGCAAUCAUUAAUGAAUGACGAAAAUGCAUUCUGAGUCAUGGAGGAGGUGGAGAAACCUUGUGGCUUAGAAGCUUUGGACUCAAAGGUGCCUGUACUCCAAGACCUUGUCCACACAUAGCCAGGUAUCUGCUAAUGAUGUCUAAUAGCUAAUGAUGACAGCUUGGUAAAGCUGUACUACACAGAUGCUCUGAUAAAAAAACUCUACUUUGGCUGUUCUCGAGUUAGAAGCCAAUCAUUACUUACUGUUGACCAAAUAAUAUCUGCAAACAUACAUUUGUCCAUAUUCAUUUACUGUUGUAUCAUCGCUACAGCCUUCUUAUUAUCACAGAGGACUGAGACAAGUGGGGGAGGGAGGACAGGCAUUAUCUCUGCUGCUACAGUACAAGGAUUAUCCCUGACACACGGAUUUCCUUCUAGGCACCAUUAGCUUGGCCUCAUCCCAUUUGGUGUUUCCAACACCUGUGACCACCAUCCAUCUAGGCACAAGAAUUAUUACCACUGUAUUUUUUUCCAGGGUGUAUAAAUUAAUCAUGGAGAUCACAAGCAAACUACUUUAAAUUUCUGGGCUGUGACCAAGAAACACAUCCUCCCAAGGAUACUGAGGACCUAUGCAUCAUUAAAACAGGGUUGUGUUAUCAGACAGAGGAACAGUGCCAGCCUCUCCACUUACUGUACAGGACUGUGCCCUCUGCAUUUUCACUCUGUGCAUAAUAGCUUCUGUCAAUGGCUAAAUGGAGGCAGGUCCUUUAGUCUGACUUUGAACGUACAAUGAAACAUUGGAUAAAAUAAUGGUGAAGUAGUGGACAGCUGACUACAGGGAACACAAAUUAGCACCGAUUACCAAGUAGGGCAUGUACGCUAAUGCCUUUGGGGCUGCAGAGGUGUGUCAGAGUACCAAGGCAUGGAAUGGUAAUGAUUUCCUUAUCCACACAAUCCACAAACUCCCCCCUUGAGUGUCUUAAAGGGUCCCGGAAUCCACCUUCCUGACAGAAAUCUUUGGGUGCAGGUGAAGAUAUUACAGAAGUUAUACAUGUGGCAGUUCCUCCUCAUGUUGUGGUCUGAAGAGAUUAUUUUUGUUUUACAAGUUUCCAGAUCAUCUGAAUUCAUGCCCAGGUACAGACACGGUAAAAACAUGUUUUUCAAAAUCAGUUUGAACCACCUCAUCCAACUUUGAGACAUGUCCAGAUUUUAAGGUGGGGCAUUUUGCAUUUUUGUCCAAAAAUGAUCAAGACACAAGGUGCUGUAUAGUGCUGUAUACUCACUCGGCACCCUGAUAUAGAUGAGAUGCUAGACUCCAAACAUUUGCAUUCUUAACUGAGGAGGAAGAGAGGAAAGGGCUCUUCAUUCAGGCUUCGAUUUUCAGAUGGAUAAAGUCGCACUAUUGGUUUUCUCCAUACCAGCAAAUACAUUAGUCAGCAUGUCAGAUAAAGAAAGAUAUCAGGCAGAACUCCUUUCUAUUGAUCCAACCCUCUAUAUUUGAUUGAGACUCAUGACAGGACUGUGGGCAGGAUGACAAACAAAAAGGCAGAAGGUUAAAAAAGUUGAAACCAAAUCAAUAAUGAUGACUGACAAGAUGAAGCCUGGGUAAUCAGAGUCAUCCCCCCUCCAAUAAAUGAUGGAGAGCUGCAUAAAUGUACUUCACUCCCUAUCAUCUAUUGCUGCCAUCGUCCUUUUCCCCUCAUGACUGAUGAUUUUUUUCAUGUUUUGUUGCAUCAACUCUUCAGCAAACAUUUGAAACAAGAACUGAGACAGAGAGGGACUUCAAGAACAUUUUGUACCUAACUCUGAUUUACAGUUCUUAAUAUACUGACACAAAAUGUUGAUUUUAAAAUGUUAUAUGUACUGAUAAAAAUAGAGCCUCUGAUUCCGGUUGGUAGCGCCACAAUGACGAUGAAUCUAAAUCAUCAGAUUUUUAACUCACCUUUCACUGUGAAUGAGGUAAUGUCACAACUCCUAAACACUGUUUUUAUUAUCACUGCUCAUGCUUUUUCUUUAUAGGAACCAAUAAGUGUGAGGUGUUCUCACCUGCUCUGCUGCUCUUGCCUAGAUUACAGAAGAGGAUCUGAUAGUAAAAUGCCCAUGUUGUUUGACAAACCAGCAUAGCAUGCCUGAAUGACCUGCCGGACUCUGGCAUUGCUCUUGUAAUACUAAAUUGAUAACUGUCGUCAAGGGUUUUGGACUAAUCAGAAUCAAGUAUGCAGCUGGGUGUAUAGCGAGAUAGCUGGGUAACAAGCUUCAGUCACUUGAAAUGCCCCAAGAUACUGCAGACACUCUCCGGCUUUACCAUCAGGACCAGGACCACCUGAUUAUGACUGCUUGGGAAGGCAAAGGGGGGAAGGACCAAUACAACGUAUAAAGCCAUAACACUCACACCAACUUGAGUGUUUAGGUCAGGUACCUUAAAUUUGGAUGACAUGCUCUCCUGUGGCUCAAUGCAGUCUUAAUCACAUAAGCUCUCUGUAAUUUAUCCCCAAAGACUGGAAUAAAACAGCAUUCACUUCAAGACAUUCUUGGGGAAGACUGGUCAAACUAAGAAGUUCAGAACUAACGUCAUUGGUCCCUAAAGACGUGUUUGACGUGUGCAAUGUGUUUGACACUGUGUCUUACCAUUUCUGCUACCUUUUGUUUAUUAUGGUUCUAAAAGCCUUUGAAUUGCUCUCUAACUGGGAAAUAUUACGUUUUUUGAAUUGGAUUAAACCAAAUUAAAUUCUAUACCCUUGUUUGGAUUAUUCAUUGGUUAAAUCAUUUAGUAAACAUAUUUCAUUAAAAAGUGCCCAGAAAACAGCAUAAGCUCUAGCAGGGUCCUCUGUUCAUGGGUUGCUGCAGCUGAGAGGACUUUUUCUGUGUAAACUUUUCUCCGCCCCUGGUGUAAGCAUUUAGCCGACCUUUUGUCACAGGAUGUUGGCUCUGCUUAUUUGGGUGAAUAAAUUACUAAAGGUCCAUCUAUUUUUCUCAGUGUUUUUUUUUUUUUUUCUUUCUUUUUUCCCCUGAAGACUUCAUGUGGAGACUGCUUCUCCAUGGUGCUCAUUUGACUUCCUUUUCUUCUGGAGCCAAACAGUGGACCACUAGCGGAACAAAUCAAUGCUGGGCCGGGGGCGGGGCAAACGACAGGGCACUUUACACCCAGUAAAGCUCAUAAAAACAUUGCUUCACAACAUACACAUGCCCACACUUGUAAGUAGGGCUUACAAGCAAAACUACAUUUUUUUACACUUGGUUUUGUCAUUUUGAAGUCAAUCAAAUACAUAUGAAGUCUUAACAAACCUUUUUUUAAAUCUAGAGGGGAGCGAGCGUUUGCGGUCGCAGCUCCCACUUUGUGGAAUGCACUACCCCUCAGUGUGCGUACUGCAAAUAGUCCCUCUACCUUUAAAACCCAACUGAAGACGCACUUGUUCAUGUUAGCUUUUGAGUAUGAUAUUUGUAUUGGUUCUAUAUUCGUUUUUGUUUACAUUUAUAUGUUACAUAUCUUUUGUUGUUGCUGUUUGCUGUUGUAUGACUUGCUUUAAUUGCUACUGCUUCGUUAUUGUAAAGAUCUUUGGUAGGCCACUGGCUGUUUUAAAUGUGCUAUACAAAUAAACUGACAUUGACAUUGACAAACCAAGAGGACAACUAAAACAUUAAGCUACCCCGCCCUUCACAAUUAAACAACAAAAUUUAAAGUAGUCCAGCACCAUGGAUACCAACCACAUAAUUUUGACACCUAUUUUAACCAUUUUUAAUUAAUAAGGGCACAGUAGCCUACUGACACAUGUUCUCAUACAAAUAAAUAAUCAAUAUGAAGUACUAGGCCUACUCAUUUCUCUUUUAUAGGCCUUGCGAUCUGCAAACUCAAGAUGAACUGUAUGUCCAUUUUCUUUGCUCUAUCAUUCUCUAUGGACAACAUGGCAAGUCCGCUCAGUCUCUCCUGUCCUACUGUGCCCCUCAGGUGGUUUUUUAGUUAGUUUUUACUUGGAGAAUGAGCGCUCAGAGGUUGCAACCACUGGUGGAACAAAUCAAUGUUCCACCAGGGAGUGCCACCAUAGACUUUUUUUAAAUAUUCUGUGUAAUAUAUUUCUAAAGUUUGUCCACAGCUCUGUAGUGAUUGCUAAAGGCCUGUCACCAGAGGGUGCUGUUCUCACUGUGGUUUCACUCAGUGAGGAGACAGACGGUGUCCAUUCUUUAUACAGUCCAUGAGUGCCACCCAUCCAGCCCCUACAGAAGCUCCAAACCUGUAGAGGAGCAUUUACCCAAGCGGCACAAAGGCAUUCUUGUUAGAGACCUCCACUUUCUAGCCAGUGGAUGUGACGCAAAAUAAUCCUUGACCUCUGAAAAAAAAGGUUGCCAAGGGAACUGUUAUUCCUCCUAUCACUUAGAUCGUGCCUGAGUUGUGAGCUGCCAUGUAAAGUCACCUGUCAUGACAGACCUGACGGCACAUCUCUCGGGAUUCCUCUAUAUGCUAGAGAUCAAUUUAAAUGGGAGGGUAUUUUCUUGGGGCCUUAUAAUAUGAACUGUGUCUUAUUUGGGGAAAAACCUGUCACAGCUCAAACUGUAUUCCAGCUGUUUGGAUACAAAACACCUGAACCAGGACAUGACCUGACAGUCAAGCUCAGGGGGAGAUGUUUUACAGUAGUGGAUGUGGACAUGCUUCUGUCAAUCAUUGGAUUCUUGCCCAGUGCAUGUUAACUGGGACAAGGACAGCGGUCCAGUUAUAUCACCCGAUGGAGCUUUGACCAUAGUUGGACUUAACUGUGCAUGUAAACAUACCAAAUGUUACUGGGCUCAGUUUUUGCAGUCUGCCACUGCAAAGACAGGACAAAAUAUUAUUCACAAUAAAGAAAAAAAAAGGGAGUAAUGAACAUAGUAUAUAAUUUCUUUGACUUAUAUUUGUGAGCCUUAUUAUAAAAAAGAAAUUCAGUCUGAUCAGUAUGGUUCUCCUGUGUGCCAGUGUUCAGUCCAGUUAGUGUAUAUAGGGAAAGCUCGUUCUCAAGCAUGCACACAAAUCUCUGAAUCAUUCCCAGGUGAAACAGCAUAGCUAUUAAAGGUCCAUUAAUUUGUUUUAUUCAAAGGGCAUCGUAGUCAGGGUAAAAAUUAAGCACCUCCCUUAGGGGCUGAGGAAACAAGGCCCCUACCUGAGGCAAAGACUCCCACUCUCAUUAAGAUGAUGAUGAUCAUUAUGAUGCCAGAACAAGCACUUUCCUGGUCAAGGUUAGGAGUAUAAAGGCAGCUUCCUAUCCUUUCAAUUUUACAAAAAAAAAAAAAAGGUAAUAAAAAGUAUGAAAACACUGAGGGGAACUUUGCAAAUGAUUCACAGAGCCCACUAAAAAGGAGGGUGGACACCAGUUAUAGCCAUCUCUUGAAGAAAUGUUGGAUUUCACAGGUGUAAUUGAUAUUGCGCUGGUUUAUAACUCAUGUGAAUGAACUGUUAAGAAGAAACAAACCAAAACAAGAAGCUCAAACUGAGCAAACACACGUGCCCAAACAGCAUGUCUUUGAAAAACAGACCAGCAGGCUUUCUGGUAAUUGGAUUAUAACCAGGGACAGAUAAUAUUCUGAUAUUACGACUCCCAUGUAAAAAGCUUAACUGAGUGAUGCUACUAGCAUUGGCAUUAUGAUAAAAACUAAGCCUGACUCAAGUGGCCAGCCAGGACAUCAUCCUCUUAAAUUAACCUUGGCAUUUAAUAUCAUGAGUUAUUGCAUCGAAAACUGUCUUAACAAAGAGUGGCGUAGAGUAAAAACAUCAUCCAACAAUAAUUUAUCAUAGGCAUGUGUGUUAAAAUGAUCUGUGGUUGAUUGCUAAUCCCUUUGCAAAUAGUAAUCCCAUUUAUUGUAAUCUGAGUAAAUCACAGCAGGCCUCUUCAGCUUUUGUAUUCCUCCAUAUGCUUUCUUUGUCUUCAUGGAAAAACAGUACAGACAAUUUAAAGGCUGGUAAAAAUCAGUGUUUAUCUAUUUGAGCAGAAGCCUAAUACAAGCAAAAUAACAAGCCCACUUAUCACAGCACCAGCUUAAAGCUCCUGUGAGGACUUCACACUGAUGCUCUUUUAAUGAAAUACAAAAGCAAACAAGACCAGCAGUGAUAGAAUUAAUGAUUUUAAUUUUUGCUUUUAAUGCCUGGAAGCAGUGUCAGGGGGGGUAGGUGUCAACCAGACUGUGGAAGAAGCAGAUUUUUUACUUUCUACAUUUUCUACAUAAAAUAUCCACAUGAAUGAUAAAGUUGUAGGUCAAAAGUAUAGACUGUAUAUAAUAUGGACAACUUGGUUCCGUCCAUUCUUUAUACAGUCUAAAAUCAAAAGCCAGAAAGAUCAGAUUUUUUUUGUAGAAAGCAUGUUGAUAACAAGAUACGCAUAGACUGUUUUGUCCAAGAACUACGGCCAAGACAGCAUAUGUGUAUUAUCAACUACAGGAAAGACACUGACGUUGUUUUUAAUGUAUCAAGACUUAACCUUCACAAGUUAGCUGUAGUUUCUAACACCUACAAGGUAUUUGAAGCUAUUGCUUUUCAGUUGGUGAUAUCUCUGUGAGAGCAACAAGAUCACCAGAGGAGAAAACAAAGGUGUGUAAUAGUUGUUUUGGACAUCUUUUGCAAAUUCUGUAAAUAUACCUUUACAGUCCAUUAUGUAUCAUAAAUCAGAGAUAAAAAUAUCACUGGCACUGUCGAAAAGAAUCGAUCUGACAUUAAUCAACAAUCAGUAUUUGUGCACUACACUGCACACACAUGCUUUACCCUAACCUGCAAGUGUACUUAGCUGUGCUAUAAGGUUACCCUGAGUUAAUUGCUCUCUGGCUGAUGAACAUUAUUGCCUCAUGACGUGCAAUACAGGGUUUAUUAAAUGUUAACUCACUCAAGGAGUCAUGUUGGCACCUAAUCAUGGGGGUGUAGAGUUUGCAGUUCCCUUAAAGGCUGAGCAUUUUCAGCAUUAAUUCAAUGUUAUUUACUCAGCACCUCUGUACGGCGUUUCUUUUUUUUUUUUUUUUUUCCUUUUUCAACAGAAGAACAUCUUCACCUGGGAGCAUAACGGUUGCACUUUCACUGAGCACCACUGAUAAGCAGCUGUUUAUUAAAUGCAAAGCUAAAGAAGCCCACUUCUCUUUUUUUUUUUCAAACGUCUGUAUUUCGUGGCCUCAGACUGUUCAUCAGUUAAAGAGGUGAGGUGAACAACAAUGAGAGUGGAACAAUUUCCCUGCUGAGCAGUAAAUGAUACCAGGCUGUGGUAAUGUAUUGACUACAUUUGCAUUUCAGUGUAGCUAUUUGUCUUGAGUAGGGGGGGUAAUUAAAUCUUUAACCAUGUGUGAACCGCUGCUAAACAGCAAAAGUUAAAAAGAAAAAAGAAAAAAUCAGAAGUUGGAUGGGGAUGCAAAUGACGAUAAUGAUGAUGAUACUUUUUUAAUUUUGUCAGUUAUCCAUAGCUAGAAGGUGGAUGAGAGAGAAAUAAUCAUGGAGUCAGAUUCUUACUUCAACCUUGUAGAGGUGAAACUCUUAAUAAUCCCGAUGUUUUUUCACUCAUGGAGGAGAGUAACGAUGCAUCAUGAUCAGUGCACAAGUCUUUGCAGAUUAUUACUGCUCAUGCACACUCUGCUGAAGACUAUGAAUGUGAUAUUUUGUGGUUGGCGCUCUUACAGGGGUGCUUUGGUAUUUUUCAACCUGGGCCCUAUUUGCCCACAUGUUGGUGUGUUUGGUACAGAAGCGUAUUGCAUUCACUUCCACUUUGUUUCUCUGACUAUUUCUUUUUCUUCUGUUUUUGUGUACUAAUAUUUUUCCCCUCUUUCUGUUUUUUCUGACUAUUUUUUUUCUCCUGUUUUUUAUUUGUACUAAUAUUUUUUCCCCUCUUUCGGUUUUUCGGACUGUUUUUUUUUUCCUGACUAAGUGAGAUACUUCAAAAUCCUGCGAGAAUCUCAUACAACCAGAUAUCGGCAACCACUGCUGCUGCUCCAAAUCAGAGGAUUCUUCAGCUCCUAGAUAACUUCGGGGUCACUACGGGGUCAAUGAGAGUAAGGCAUGUUAUUCGUUAAACAUAGGGUAUGCAAAUCCUGAGGUGCCUGCACAAAGUAGACAAACUUAUGACGAGUCCACCUUUAUGACUUCAAAAAAAGAAUAUCUCCCAGUGUCUCAAACUCAAUAGAAAGUAAAACUUGAUUAAACUGAACAAAUUGGCCAUGUUUGCUUCCAAAAAUCGAGCAGAGGGGGAUGAAAGCGUCUAAUGAAAGUGUUCAAUGAUCAAGAUCCCGGAGAAUAGGAAAAACAAUUAGUCUGAAAAACAAAACAAACCGAAAAAAAAAAAAUGUUUGAAACACAGAAAAAUGUGUCCAAAAAUGUAUUCUGAAAAAAAAAGAAAAAAAAAAUCUGAAAAACAGAAAAUAAAAUAAAUAAAUAAAUAAAUUACUCUGAAAAAAAGAGCUUUUUUUUGGUUGUUGGUUUUUUGUGUUGUUUUUGUAAUUAGUUUUACGGUGAAUGCAAGACACUUCUGUAGUUUUAGACUGACCAGGAAAAAAAUAGAUAAAAUUUGUCCAGUAAUGAGGCAGCCACUAAACAGUUUGACAGAGUAAUUGCACAUCUUCACUGCAAAUGUCAAGAUCAUGCUUAUUAGUUUCGCAGAGUUCAGAUUUGGUAAUCUACCCCAACAUUUAUAAGAACUGCUCAUAUACUGGUCAUUUGUUUUGUCCAUCAUUGGAAUCAUGACGAUAAUCUAAAUUGAUUAUUUUGGCUGUAGCUGGACAGAAUAUGCUCCAGUCUGGAUGUGAGUGAUGAGUUCAGGCAGACACAAGAUGACAAACCAGAUAAUGUUGAAACAGAUUUGUCUGUGAUAGUAUAAAUAAGGGAAGCCAUCCAAGGAUAAUGGUCAUGGUAGACAUUUUUACCUCAGUUGUAAUUUCAUUUGAACAUUUGUACAGACCUUCUCAACAGACAUGACAAUUUGAUGUUACUGAACCACCUCAUGCAAGUAGGAAAUUCACAAAGGUAUUGAUCAAAACAACAAAAAAGCUAUUGAUUUUGUUCUUUUUCUAUAAAGAUUUUCUGUUGUCUGUCUGGCUGUUAGUAAAAGCUUUCAGAGAGGGAUAAGUGUUAUUGAAAAUGCACUCAAAAAGAUGAACUAAAUGCAUAAACCAACACCAAACAAUACUGUUAUUGCACAAUAAUAAGGCCACAAAGCAAUGGACCACCAGCCUUACUAUAUGUGAAGUGCUAAAAAUGAAGGUUAAAAAUGUUAUCUUGAAUUGAAAUUUGGAGCGUAUAGUCUUGUGGAUUUAUCGAGUGUUUGCAACAGACAGUCCUCGACUAAAAAAAAAAAUCUAAAAUGUAUCACAGACAAGUGUUAGAGAGUGUUAUCACAGUCAAGUAUAAAAGCAUGCUACGAAUACAGGAAAUUACACCAAAUACAGAAAAACAGCAAACGACUCAGAAAAUGACACAAUUAUUUUCUCAGCUGCAGCAGGAGUGAAGGAGAGUUCAGAGAGUCCCUUUGAGCUGAAUUUCAAACACAUUUUCGUAUUUUUGAAAACCAUAUAAAAAAACAUGCGUUACUCCUAUUCGUCAUAUGAACAACAUCUUCAUAUCAAAUUGUGCAUGCUUAGAAACGCGAUCCAAAGAGUAGCUCACUCAGAUGUCUGUCGCCGUCCUCUUUGCACUUUCAGAUGCAUGAAACGUUUCCUGAAUGUUGUCUUUUCAUUAAAACCUCUAAGACCAGUAGACUACAUGAAGUAACGAGGAGUAGAUGUCUUGAUUUAGGGGAUUAUUAAUCAGACGAGUUUAGACCUAACCACAGCUGAUAUUUGCUUGAUUCCUCCUGAGGCUCGGUAUUUCUCAAACUUUAAGAUUGAUAUGUCUUCCCACUGUUUAUACUCUCACAAAGCACAGCAGCAUUAAAUUAAAGGUGAAUAUAAUCUCUAAAGGCCUGAAUUUUGAGGAUCACUUUGGUGCACCAGGUACCCACUCUCUGGCAUGUGAUCUCUGCAUUGUCAACAGACACAGAUGUACUCUGCAGAAUGAAAUGCCUUCUCCCUGGAUGUCACCUUCAGGUAAAGUUAUUACAGCUGUCGAAUCCUAAGUAUUUUUCUUUUUACUUUUUUUUUCUGUUUCUCAUCAGUUCAGCAAAACUCCAGCAGGAAGUCGAGGACACAAUGUUGGUGAGAGAGGGGCAAGUUGUGGUUCUGCUCUGCGGUCCUCCACCCCAUUACAGAGGUACAGUCCUAACUCUUUUCUGCAUUGUUCUCUUGAAUCUCACUCUUGCCUGCCUCAGCAAUCUUUAUUGUUCCUCUCUCUGCUGCUUAUUAUCUCCCUGUAACACCCCUGUCUCCAUUGUUUUUAUACCCUCCCACCUCCUCUUUGUGCUGCUCUCCCUUUCAAACUCUGACACUGUUUUCCACUCACUUCUCCUUAUCUGUCAGACAAGGAACUUUUUAUGUCCAGCCACCGCUCUACCUGCCUAGCCCAUGCCUUCACAUCUAUAGUUCAUAGCCUCACACUUUUUACCCUUGAGCUCACAUUUCUCGCCCAUAUGAUCUGUGACCACGCUGUCAUCUAUAAAGUCUCCAGGGCUCCACUUCCUCAGCCGUCGUUCUUUUCUCUCUCUCUCUCUCUUUCUCUCUCUCUCUCUCUCUCUUUUUCUCUCUCUCUCUCCUGCUAUGGACAGGUUAUCUUUGGGUAAUAAAGGCUGCUUGCGGCUGCUGUGGCCGCAGGAGCAUUUAUCCGGUGGAACGGCAGCAGGUCGGCUCAUGUGUCUGUGUGCAGCUGAUUAGCAGACCCUCAAAGUGGUCUGCACUCCUGCAGCCAUGCGAUGCCCACCAGCACAAUUUCACGCCAGCAUACCAGCCUUUCUGCACUCCUCUGUUGUGGGCUGAAACCUGCAGCCAUGUGGGGUUUCCACACUUUAACAAUUUACCCUCCAGUGCCAACACCCCCACCCCCUACCCCCCUCCUAAGCCCUUUAAAAAGCCUCCACCUCUUCAUUUUUUGAUGGGAUUUACUCCCCCCCAAAAAAAAGGAAAAUUGUAUUUCUCUUUAACACAAAGUUGAAAUUUCUCAAAGCUUUUUAAUGCUUUCUUUUGCUCCACUUGAGUAAUGUACCUUGAUCAAAGAGGAGUCAUCUUGAGCUUCUUUGAGCAAUCAAUAGAUAAGUGGUCUAUGCUGAGAGUCAGACUCUGUCAGAGGACACGAGAUUAUGUGCCUGUAAGUCCUCUGUUGCUCUGAGACUGAAGCUCUUAACCAGACUCAGUCUCUGAUAGUCCCUAAUCAUGAAAGGUCUGUCGGUCUCUGACUUGACUUCCUUUUUAAUGAUUUUAAUUCACUGUUCUCCCUCAAGGAAACUUGUUGGAUUUUUUCAGUCAGGACGGCUGUCUGCACAAUGUCGUGUCUGGAGGAGAAGGCUGCUCUAAGUUCACUUUGUAAUCCCUGCGGACCAUCUUUCCUUUCUCUGUUUUACAUGAGGACAUUGACACUCUUAUCAGACCUAUGUAUUAUUUAUUUGAUAUGGACCCUGUGUGAUAAGAGUAAGAGAAAAAGUUGGAGAUUUCCUUUUAAACGUGCAAUACAGAAAACCAUUAUUAUUUGAUCAAACCAGGAAAUAAUAAGCACGUCUCUGACCUUUCAUCUGCACUGUCACAAUUUCAGCGGCUCAAUAAUAACAAUAAACACAAUGUCUGAAUUAUUCUGUGCUUUUGUUAGAGUUAACAAAAAGACCAAAAUCCAAACUGUCAAACAGCCUGUGUUAAGAAAAGCCCGGCGUUGUUGUUUGGUGAGGAAAUGUUAUUUGAAGAACUAAUAAGACAAAGAAACAUGAUCCAGAACAGCAGGCUUCAGUAAAAGCUGUGAUAUUGCUUUAGCUUGUGUGUCAAUGCAGUAGUGAGGUUAUAUCAGAUAUCAGUAAAUUCCAGUUUAGAUCCCAGUUAUCAAAAAACUCUGUCAAAUGUUUAACUGUAUUCUACACAGAGUGGAAGAAAGUAGACAAAAGACUUUGAGAUGAAACUAAUUACUCAUGAGAAUGAAGUUGUGAUAAAAUAAUUACUCUCAAGAAUAAAGUCAUAAUAGAACCGUUACUUACAAGAAUAAAGUCAGAAAGUAAAUGAAGUCAUAAAGCUACUUUACUGGAGGAGGAAAUGGCUGGAACUGGUCAACUGCAGAGUUGUUAGUGGGUGCAUCAGCAGGACAUUCAGAGAGCUUUUGUGGUUCCUCAAGAAACAAUCCAACUGAUAAUCAUUUCUGUGAUUCAGAGGGAGUCAAGCUCCAACCCACGUCUGUCCCUGAUGCCAGCAGCAACCUACACCUUCAGAGGCACCACCACCUUAUGGCAUAUAGAUUCACACGAUAAACCAAAGCCCAAUGCUAACGCUAUAAACGGCUGCAUUGACAGAUUUUGCCUCCACAAAGCCAUUUCCAGCUCCCCCCAUAAGUAACGAUUUUAUUAUUAGAACUUUAUUCUUGUAAUGACUUUAUUUUGACUUUAUUCAAGUAAUUACUUUAUUCCAAAAUUUUUUUUGUGAGUAAUUACUUUAUCAUAACCCAAUUCUCAUCAGUAAUUGCUUUAUCACGACUUAAUUCUCAUGAGUAGUUACUUUAUCAAGACUUAAUUCCAGUGAGAAAUUACUUUAUGACUUAAUUCUCGUAAUUAUUUUUAUCAAGACUUCAUUCUCAUGAGUAAUUACUACAUCAUGACUUAAUUCUCGUGAUUAAUUACUUUCUCACGAUAUUAUUUUUGUGAGUAAUUACUUUGAACCCUUAGUCUUUUUCCUUAUGUGGUCCUUAUACUCUGUUGUAAUAUUGUGUAUUUUUUUAAUCUUUUGUUUCACAUGUAACAAAAGUAGUUGUCUCAUACUAUGAUUAAACUAAUAUAAAAACACUUCAAAUGUUAGUAAAAGCUGAGUUGUUUUGUCUUGUUGUUCCUUCUCCCAGGGUAGGGGACAUUUGUGUACAGCUUAAGCUGAGUCCAUGUGUGUGUGUGUAGAGAGAGGAAUAUGAAGACCAGUACACCAGCGUUCAGCUUGCCAAACCCUGUGUCAGUGUGAAGAGACUGUUAGCAUUCUCAGCUCACCUCUGCUGCCCCGUGGUUAUCCUGUGCACUGAACUGAUUACUUGUCUAGAGCAUGACUCUGUUUUUGCUUUUGUAAGAGCAAAGUUUCUGGCCCAUUCAGAAGCUUCUGAACUCUACAGGGUUAUGUUAUACACCUGCUCUCUGCAUGAAGAUACAUAUUUACAUAUUUCCACUCAACUGACCUACUCCUCUGACAGAGAUACAUGAAGGCACAUAAAGCAAGGAGCUAGCCAUAUGCAUUUAACAUGUCCCGAACCCCACCUGAACUAAUUAUACAGUCGAGCGUAGGAUUGAGAUGAUGCAGGUGAGAAAUUCAAAUUCAUCCACCCACCAAGCCAAAGGCUGUUGUAGGCCAGAUGCCAUCAUCAUGGUUGUUUGCCCUGUGCCAAAGUCAAAAAGGCAAAUCCCUUUAAUCCAGCAUGAAUAACAGGGCAGACAAUGUCCAUGUCUAAUGUUUUCCUGAUGUGAUUUCCUACAAUUCUUCAGUUGUGAUGGAUGACUAUCAGCCAGGUUUUGGGGUUUCCUUGUCCCCUUUCAGUGAUAAAUAGUCUAAAGGUCUAUCUUGGGUCUGCUGCCAUCUUAGUUUCUAACCUACAGGGCAAUCAAACAGGAAAGGACUUUUUCUUAUGGUCUGUUCCAGAGGUCCCAGCUGAUAUAAGUGUUUAAAUCUGCAGAUCCAUUUACUUGAAAUUAGUAUCACAAGAGAUGGAGUUCAAUGAACUGGUUUCACUGGGUAAUCUUGCGGUGAUGUUGAACAACUUGGAGGCAGACACAUCUAGCUGUAGGUGUUCCUAUUCCUGUUCCCCUGACCUUGGUUAAUUAGGACAUGAUCUGCCAUUCAUUUUACUGCAUUAACAACAUUUGACAAUUUUUUAAAUUUCUUCUUGGGGAUAAAUAAAAUCCCUCUUAUCUUAUAUUUAUUGUAGAAAUUUACUUGUGUGUUUUUCCCUCCAUUACCACUUAAGCCACUGUCCUCUUCACCAGUUAGUACCUGGCAGCAGCUUCCAGAGACCCCUGGGCUUGCCAACCUCCAAAGACCUUCUACUUCAGGCUGACUGCCCCCUCACCUUCACAAGUGUCCACCAGCAGGUUCUGAGGUUACUGCCAUAACAGGAACGAUGAUCUCCAGGCCACAACCUCUGGACCUGGACCAUGUUCAAGCCUCUACUGUAUCCCUGUUUCCCGCUCUAGCCUCUGUCCUGUGGACUCAGAAUACAAAGUUCAUAGAUUAUGGACCCACAUAGAUUACUUUUAAGAUGAG